rnacentral:lncRNA from 1 species
GCUGGGUGCAAUGGCUCAUCCCUGUGAUCCCAGUGUUUUGGGAGGCUGAAGCAGGAGGAUCGCUUGAGCCCAGGAGACUGAGGCUACAAUGAGCCGUGAUCACCCCACUGCACCCCAGCCUGGGUGAUGGAGCAACACUGUCUCUAAAAGCAAAAUGAGUCUUGCUCCAUCACCCAGGCUGGAGUGCAGUGAGGUGAUCACGGCUCAUUGCAGCCUCAACCUCCUGGGCUCAAGCGGUCCUCCCAC